rnacentral:rRNA from 1 species
GGCUUUUUGUUUUAAUGUUAUAAAAAGUCGGACCUGCCCGGUGAUAUGUUAAACGGCUGCAGUUUCUGUACGAAGGUAGCGUGAUCAACAGCCCUUUAAUUGGGGGAUAGUAUGAAUGGUUUGACGCAGAAAUUCUGUCUCUAACGUAGAAGUUGAAUUUUUUAUUUUAGUGAAAAGACUGAAAUUUUUGUAAAAGACGAGAAGACCCUGUCAAACUUAAUUAGAUUAUUUCCUUUGAAAUAAUUGAAUUUUUGUUGGGGCAACAGAAGACUAAUACUAACGUCUUUAUGUUUUAUUUUGAUCCCUAUGGAAGGAUAGUAGAAAAAGUUACUGAAGGGAUAACAGCGUAAUAUCUUUUCGAGAGAUCUUAUUGAGAAAAGGGUGUGCGACCUCGAUGUUGAAUUAAGGAUUACUGUAUGGUUGCAGAAGCUAUAGUAGUGAAACUGUUCGUUUUUUUAUUCCUUACA